rnacentral:rRNA from 1 species
UACGAAGGGGGCUAGCGUUGCUCGGAAUUACUGGGCGUAAAGGGCGCGUAGGCGGAUAGUUUAGUCAGAGGUGAAAGCCCAGGGCUCAACCUUGGAAUUGCCUUUGAUACUGGCUAUCUUGAGUUCGGGAGAGGUGAGUGGAAUGCCGAGUGUAGAGGUGAAAUUCGUAGAUAUUCGGCGGAACACCAGUGGCGAAGGCGACUCACUGGCCCGAUACUGACGCUGAGGCGCGAAAGUGUGGGGAUCAAACAGG